AUUUGUAAAAAAAUAAGAGGUCGCAUAGCAACCUUUCACGUCUCCAGGGAGACCAUCCGUAGUAGUGAUUGGUUGAUAUCAGCCAAUCACACUACAGUAACAGGACAGGUACAUUUGAGAAACAUGCAGCAGUGUCGUUUUGCACUUGGUAUAGCAGUGAAGAAACCUUCUUAACUGGCAAAAAAAGUGCACAAAGUAUGUAAUAAUACUCCGCCAUCCAAGGGUUGUUUUAAAUAAACCAAAGAAGGAAUAAGCUGAUAAAUCAACAAAGAAGAGGACAAGGAUUCAUCACACCCAGCCAUCUUCAAUUCUGUGAAGAUGUAUAGUAGCCUUGACUGCUCUCAUUUUGAUCAAGUAUCCAAAAGUCCUCUUGGGAAGACAUGAAGCUUGCUGCUGGCUGCCGGACUCCUGCUGCUCCUCCGCUGUAUUCUUUUUCUGGCUUUCACUGCGGCGAGGGAAAAACACAACACGAGUAAAUGGCAGGUGGUAGUUGCAGGGCACGUCAUUCCACUGGCCCUUCUCAUGCCAGAUCAUCACCACACAGUCUUCUCCAGAGUUGAAGUAAUUAUCUGGCUGGUUCGGCCUCCAGUUCUCGUAUUGCUGAAGAAGAGGAGGAAGGAGAAACAUACUUUACUACAAGCAGAGAACAGAACGGACUUUCUUCUCGCUGAGCAGAGCUUGAAAACACAGCUGAUAAAAGACGAAGUCCACCGGCAACCAGACCACUGCCAGCCUGCGUUUACUCGACACCCGGAGUCAUUAACCGCUGCGUUACUCGCAUGACUGCACGGGUGUUCACGCGCCUUCAGCCUCUGAAAGAUGUCUUGUACAUGUUUUAUAUGGCUUUCUGACACCAUACACAUUGUGCCGGAUCAAACAGGACAUGUUCACAUGUAGUGUUAAAAUAACGUCAAGCCACUGUAGCUCCUUGAUAAAUGGAGUUUCUUGAGUAACUGUUAUAAUUUACACCCUCUCUGGGCAGUUUUGUUUGUAGAGGCAAAGAUUAAACUGAAAGAAAUACUUUAUUAGCUGGUUGUAGAAAUAAAUACUUGUAAUACAGAGAAAGCAGAAAUGCAGCAUUAAUGAUGUGAAAUU